AAGUGGUACAGUAUACCUGUACAGAUUAUGGCCUACAUUAUGCACUGCAUCUAUGUACAUUAAAUUAGUACUGGACUAGAUAUUAUUUGUUGGUAAAAAACGCCAAAUCAGCAGAAAAUUAUAUUAACUUUCCAUGGUUACAGUAGACUCUCGCUAUUCCGGCUCUCUGAAGUACGGCCACCUCGAUAUACCGGCCAUUUGGUUUGGCACGGAAUGCUACCUCUAUGUUUACUGCACAAAACUCACCCUGAAGUACGGCCACUCGCUAUUCCGUUUACCGGCCAGUGCUGGCUGUCCCAAAUAACGUUUUCAAUGUAAUUUUAUAUGUGUAUUACGGCCGGAUAUGAUGUUUUGGGUGUGGUUUAGUAAAUAAAAUUGGAUUACACUUAAAUAGAGAGCAGAAUGAUUAUUAUCUUUCAUUAUCCUCAAGAAAAGAACUGCAAAUCAGUGAUUAGAUUCGAGGUAAGGUCGUUUUUAAGCCGCGGCAUUAUCUAAAGUACGGCCACCUCGCUAUUCCGGCCAAGCUGCAUGGUCCCAAGGGUGGCCGGAUUAACGAGAGUCUACUGUAUAUCUGUUGGUUUCGUGUUUUUCCUGUUCCUUUGCACAGUUUGAGGCUGAGAGUGCUGCCCUGUCAGUAAUGAACCCGUACACUCGGACACCUUCAAGAAGUUUAGAGGGUUCUUCCUGCAAGCAUCGACAGUGGACCCCCCGGACAGAUAGCUGGGUAUCGACGCAUACUCUGACGUGACCAAGCCAAUCAUCCAUACAUCAGUGUCCAUGGAGAUAUGCUCCACCCACUCUGUUCAGGUUCGGACAUGUUGUGUUUGAGAUCACGUCAGGCAGAUAGAGAAGGUGGAGCUGGUCCUCCAGGACCUCCUUCAGCUGCAAUACGAGGGCCUGGCAAUCAUGAAGAUGUUUGAAAGGGCCAAAGUGAACAUUAAUCUGCUCAUCUUCCUCAUAAACAAAAAUCGACAGAGCGUUAAAUUGGAUUUCCACUACAUUCAUUGACAGUUUUAUACGUACAGUGCAUGUGUUCUCUGUGACACUGUAGGGAGCAUUGAAUUUAAACCAUCAUUAUUACUGUGCUAUAUUGACCAAUUCCAACUGAUUUGUUUGUAGGUAAUUGUUAUGUAAUGUGCCGACAUACUUCUAGUCUUC